rnacentral:lncRNA from 1 species
UUUUUUUUUUUUUUUAGGGUCACACCCACAGCAUAUAGAGUUUCCCAGGCUAGAGGUCGAAUUGGAGCUGUAUCCACUGGUCUACACCAUAGCCCAGCAAUGCCAGAUCCGAACCACAUCUGCAAUCUACGGCAACACCAGAUCCUUAACCCACUGAGUAAGGCCAGGUAUCGAACCUGUGUCCUUAUAGAUAUUAGUCAGAUUCAUUUCCACUGUCCAUGAUGGGAACUCCUGUCACUGCUUUCUUGGUGCCAGGCCUGCACAUCACACUCGGGGACCUUGACGCCAUCCUAAAAUCAGGGGUGUGACGGGAGGGACCUCAGUGAAAAAGACCCGCAGGUCCCGCCCAGCCUGCUGGCUGAGAGCAAAGAUGCUGAAUGGGAAAUCGGGAUGCUGGGACCCCAGGGUCUAACCCCAACCCCAGUAGAGUGCCUUUGACACUUUGUAUGUGUCAGACAACUUGUUUUUAGCUCCACAUCUCCUCGGAAUGAGGAUGAUAUAAGGACACGCAAGGGAGAGAAGAAAAGCAUGAGAUUCUCCUGGGGACUGAACUUCAUUCUCAAGGAAAAGGUUGGAGCUUCCAGAAUUGACGAAUGCUGGAGGGCUAAUGGGAAGCAGUUCUGGGGAAUGAGGAGCACCGGUUACGCAGCAGGGAAGCAAAACUGAAACCCUGCCAGGGUGAUCUGUGGCUUUGACCUCUGCAGCAGGAGCAGAAAAUUUGCUCCAGGAAGAGCAAAGAACCAGUUAGUGGCCACUCCAAGUUUUUGGCUGAAUUCUGUGGCUCCUCUCCAGAUUCUCCUCCCAAAAAAGGUGAAAAGGAAAUCCCGCUUUGGACUGUAGAGUCCAGAUGUCUUUCUGAACACUCUGAAAUGCGCCCCCAAAAUGGGAUUUCAAGCAUCUUCAAGGAAGGAGGCCAGGAACAUGAAUGCAGUAGAGAAGAAUACGUUAUCCCAAUACCACAACCUAGAGAACACACCACAGAGGCUCCCAACCAUCGCCUGAUCAUUAAACACAUUUUGAAAACGAAUAACCACAAUGCACACUUCAGGCUAAUUAAGAGCUAAAUUGAGCUGACAUGGGUUCAAUUCCCAGCUACAUUUUUAAAAAUAAUUUCCUCCAUUGUACUCCCUUCCAUUUUGAUGGAAAGAUAAGAUUUUUCUGUACAGUCAUACAUUAAUAGUCUGCACAACUAUUUAUUGAGCACCAGUUACAUGUGGGACCCUGAGCCAGGCAUCCUAUGAGCCAUAAAGGACAGCGGCUUAGUUGUCCUGUGCUCCCGGCUAUGAUUUAGAAAGAGUCCCUUGUUUAAUCAUCUCAUCUAUUUAUUUCCCAAGAAGAUGGUUCUACACAGUAACUUUUAAUACAAUGUGUGUCAGGAUAAAAAGCAGCAUGCAAUUAUCCAAUUUUCCUCUACUUAAAUUUUAAUGACCAUACUGACUAGCCCAUUCCAUUCUGCAACUUUUAGCCCAUGGGCUCUUAAGUAGCAGUUUGACACCAGAGAGUCUCCCAGAUUUAGUUCUACCUGGCAAGGCCCCUGGGACCACUGCUUAUUGUGUAGUAGGUGGUUUGCCCUCCAAACAGCCUUCCAUUCAAACUGCCAAUAUUCAGACUACUUCACUAGCAUGCAAUCCACAAUUUUGUACUUAGCGAGUAACACCCAACCUAAAAAAUCGAGAAUGUUUUAUUUCAUGCUUCCCCUCGGGAGCCUGGAAACAUGAAAGAUGGGAUGAUUUCUCCCAGACAUUUGACUCAGCUAGCAGGUCAGUUCAGCAAUAACCUCAGGCCUUGGAUAUGGAAGCCUUUGACUUGGGGCCCAGCAGACCCUUUUGUACCCAACCUGAGAAUGCAGGACACAU